rnacentral:lncRNA from 1 species
UGGGAAUGCUUUUCACUAUACGAGACUUCCUCUGUGAUUCCUCCCUUCAAAGAAGGCAAAAGCCCUUUUUUUUCAACCAUUAGCAAGAAGAAGCACUUCCAGAAUCCCUGCAAUGACCUUUAAAAGUAAUAUCUCGGGCAUCAAUCUAAAGAGAGUUUGGUAGCUUUCCCUUUAAACUCGGAAUUAUUAAGGGGCAGCUCGGGCACCAAGGUUUAUUAAACUCCUAACUUACGGUUAAGAAAGGAAAGCCAUUCCAAUCCUAAACAAGAUCACAGCGGCAAGACCUAAGAGAAAGGAGGUCUAUUGAUCUCGAGCCUUCUUCUUUAUCUUCCAAUGGUAUAGGAUAAGCUAA